rnacentral:rRNA from 1 species
UUGGAGGGCAAGUCUGGUGCCAGCAGCCGCGGUAAUUCCAGCUCCAAUAGCGUAUAUUAAGGUUGUUGCAGUUAAAAAGCUCGUAGUUGAAUUUCGGGGUUAGUAGGUUGGUCAUGCCUCUGGUAUGUACUGGUCUCACUGAUUCCUCCUUCCUUAUGAACCGUAAUGCCAUUAAUUUGGUGUUGCGGGGAAUUUGGACUGUUACUUUGAAAAAAUUAGAGUGUUUAAAGCAAGCUAACGCUUGAAUACAUUAGCAUGGAAUAAUGAAAUAGGACG